GUAACAAAAAUGGCCAAAUGAGUACUUUAGGAGGUAUGUAUAUUUAUUAAUUCCCUACAACUUCAAAUCAAAUCACUCAAUUUCUCAAUUUAACACAAACAUUAAUUGUGUGACAUACAAGGUCAGGAAAAAAAUGAAGAAAAUUGGUACUAGUACAUUUAAUUUUCUCGUAAUAUUUCUUAUAUUAUCAUUGUGUGCGCAAAGCGAAUCGAGGAUGUUGGAAUUGUCCACUGCCGAUUUUAUAGAGACGAGUCAGAUGAGAGGUCGCAGCAUCAGGCAGACAUUUAAACCCAAUCCUUCCCCAAUGGCAAAUGCUCGUGAUCAUCAAUUUAUAAGUCCACCUCCCAUGAUCAUGAAAUAAGGAAGAAGCUCAUCCUGAAGAUCCAAAACCUUGGAUUGAACAACUGCAUUGGAUGGUAUAUAGUAGUAUAAAAAAAUAAUUUUGUAGUUUUUUUUUUUUUUUUGUGGAUGGAAUGUACUGUGUAAAUUUAAAUUCUUCUGGAAAAAUUGUGAAAUCAAUAGUCGAAUUGAAGCAAACUGUGAGAUGUUCUUUUCUUGCAAAACAUAUUGUCAAAUUGUUUACUCCUAAAUUAAUGAUUCAGAAUAAUAAUUGAAUUUGUGUUAAAGAACUAAAGACAUGUGAACUAUUAAUAUUAUAUUCUUGAUGCCAGAUGAUAUACUCGAGACUGAUAACAAUAAUGUGAGAAUAAUGACGAAGUGAAAAAUUUUACUAAGAAAAAAAUUAUAUGUUGAUCCUAAUUUUCUUCCUGCUUCAAACAUAUAUUGUGCUGAUCACUUUUUCUUCUUUUUUAAAUUGGAGUUGUGGAAAGAAAAAUGAAAUAGGGAACUAUAAGUUGGGUAAUCACCUUCAUUAGCAAAGUAAGAAGUUAGAUAAUCAAUCAGCCGAACUAAUAAAAUUUUCCUCGACAAUAAUAAUUAAUGAAUUCUGUCUACUUUUUUCCCUUGUUUGACUGGAGAUUAUCUAUUCAGACUCAGAGCUUUGGCUCAAAAUUAUGGGUACAGCAACGCGUUAUUAUUGAAAAAUGUGUAUUUUAAGAUAUAUUUAUUAAACAAUUGACUCUAUGAGUCUUCUACCUCAUUUUAACAACACCCAAUUUAAAAUGAAGAAAAUUGCUACUAUUUCAUUCGACGUAAUAUUUCUUAUUUUAUCAUUGUAUCUGCGAAACGAAUCGAGGAACUUAAACUUGUCCUCCACUAUCAAUUUCGAAGAGAAUAUGGGUUUAAUCAGAGGUCACAGUAACAGGCAGGCCCCGAUUAAACCCAAUCCUUCGCCUACGCCAAAUAUGCGUGGUCAUCUAGGAUGAUCUAGUCCGCCACCGCCGAUGACCAUGAAAUAAGGAAGAAGCUGAUCAUGAAGAACCAAAACCCGGGCAACGUUCCUAACGACUUGUAUUGGAUUAGAGGGGAAAUUCAUAAUUUAAGUUUACUAAUUUUGAAUUCUAAAUAACACAGUUUACUGUAGAUCUUAUAAAGUGGAUUCUUAGACGUAACCUACAAAGUUUGAGCGAAAAUUAAUAAUUUUUAUCGAACUGUG